UCCUCGGUAGUAUAGUGGUCAGUAUCCCCGCCUGUCACGCGGGAGACCGGGGUUCGAUUCCCCCCCCGGGGAG
rnacentral:tRNA from 1 species